CCUACGGGAGGCAGCAGUGGGGAAUAUUGCACAAUGGGGGAAACCCUGAUGCAGCGACGCCGCGUGAGUGAAGAAGGAUCUCGGGAUGUAAAGCUCCAUCAGUAGGGAAGAAAAGGACGGUACCUGAGUAAGAAGCCACGGCUAACUCCGAGCCAGCAGCCGCGGUAAUACGUAGGGGGCAAGCGUUAUCCGGAUUUACUGGGUGUAAAGGGAGCGUAGACGGCUGCACAAGUCCGGAGUGAAAUGCCGCGGCUUAACCCCGAAACUGCUGGGGAAACUGUGCAUCUAGAGUGCAGGAGAGGUAAGUGGAAUUCCUCGUGUAGCGGUGAAAUGCUUAGAUAUUAGG
rnacentral:rRNA from 1 species